rnacentral:lncRNA from 1 species
CAGUCCUAGAGUCCAGGGACUUCCCGCCAGAGGACUCCAGGAAGUAUCUUGGUUUCACUUUUGCUCAGGGAGUCAAGAGUUUGUUUUGUUCCUAUUUUUACCAUCUGCAACUCUGUUUUAAAGUGUGGGUUCCCUGAACAUCUCCAGGAGGGUUGGGAGGUCACCUCUUAACCCAGGACUCUUCUCAGUCUGAGAAAAUCUGACAGCUGCUCUGAUAUUUGGUUGGAGGCUUUGAAAGAGUCAUAGGAAUCAUCAUAACAAUUCUGAACUCUUUCAUCUGAAGAUCUCAAAGACCUGCAUAAACAUUAAUUAUUCUCAUAGCACUGCUUGGAGGUAAGUAGAUAUUAGGAUUCUAUUCACCUCUCAUGCUUCUAAAUAUACAGAACAAUGGGUUCCAUCCCCAUUGUUCGCUUUAUUUAUUUAUUUGUUUAUUGUAGUACUGGGGACUGCAUCCAGGGCUUGUGCAUACCGGGCAAGUGCUCUACAACUGAACUGCAUCCCCAGCCUCCUACCUCCCAUUAUUUACUUUAGAAAAAAAGUAUUUCCCUUCUAUUCUCAGGAAAAUGAAAUUGCCUAUUGUGGACUAUGCAAAGAAGUUCUGUUUAAAGCAUAGUCCCUGACAUCAAGGAACUUAGCCCUUGAAGUAAAAAGCAUAAUAAGAUGAAUAAUAAUGUAAAAGUUAUUACAGGACAGAGUAUAAUUAAUGUAAAAUGAGAGGACCUCAUGGUGGUGGUGGGGAAUCAUCAUGGAUGUUAGUGGCCAAGGAGGACUUUAUGGAGAAGGAGGGAUUUGGAUGGACCUUGACUACUCUGAGUGUGUGGUGUGUGUGCACGCACACAAAUGCAUUCCACUAGGGGAUGACGCAUGGACAAAGGUACUGAGGUGGGAAUAUGUAUGACUUGUCUAGAUGACAGAUUUUUUUUUCUGGUACUGGUGUACUGGGGAUUGACUCCAGGGGUGCUCUAUCACUGAGCUACAUCCCUAGCACACACACACCCUACACCCCACCCGACUUUUUAAAUUAUGGGGCAGGGUCUUGUUAAAUUGCUGAGGUUGGCCUUGAACUUGCAAUCCUGCUGGAGUCACUGGGAUUACAGUUGUGUGCCACCGUACCUGACUUAGAGGGCAGAUAUUUUGAUAUGGCUGAAGUCAGAGGAAUAAGGGAAGAAAAAAAUUGGAAAGCUGGGUAGAUCAGGAUCCAACAGUGAAAAAUUGUAAGUAUCAAUUUGCAAGAUUUUGACUCUCAGUAUAUCACAGAAUAAAAAAAGUAAAAUAAGAAAUUGGGCCAUAUGAACAGAUAAAGUUCAUGCUUGAUAUAAAAUUUAAUAAAGGAAUGGAACUGUUUGCAAAAAAAUGAGGCAGGAUGGUUUGGAAGAGAUGGUAUAGCUGGAACAGUAAUUCUUAGUAUGAUAACUGGACCACAUCAGAAUCAACCGAGGUUGUUAGAAGUACACAUUCUUGGGCACCUGACCUGAUCUAUUAAAUCAGAAAUUCUGGGGAUAGGACCUAGCAAACACCAGCCUUCCAGGUGACUCCAAUGCAGCUCAAGUUUGACAACUAAUAAGCUAGAGAAACACUCUUUUCAGCAGACAGGCCCAAAUAUAGCAGCAUUCUCACCAUCAAAUUCAUGCUCUGGGGCUGGGGGUGCAGCUCAGUGAAUAAACGUUUGUCUAGCAUCUGCAGGGCCCAAUUUUUGAUCCCUAGUACCUCAAAAAAAUAAAAAUAAAAUAAAAAUUCAUGUUCUUCAGGUGAAAAAAGCAAACUAUUAAACCAAUUACUAGAAUUCAAGGUUUUUUACAAACUUUUUACUAUGUAAAAAUUUUAAACUUAUAUAAAUAUAGGAUAAUAAGGCAACUGGUGGAACGUGCUUGUAAUUCCAGAAAAAAUAAGGGCGGGUGGGGGGUGUUUAAGAUGUAGCUUAGUGAUAGAGAGCCCCUAGGCUUAUUCCCCAACACUUUGAAAAAAAGGCAUAAUAGAACAACAAGCCUGCACAUACUCAUUCCAGAUUUAAAAAUUAUCAAGAGAGCCUAGUGCUGUGGCACACACCUAUAAUCCCAGAGGCUCAGAAGCCAGCCUCAGUAAAAGCAACAUGCUAAGCAGUUCAGUGAGAUACUGUCUCUAAAUAAAAAAUAUAAAAUAGGGCUUGAAGUGUGGGUCAGUGGUCAAGUACCCCUGAGUUCAAUCCCUGAACCCCCCCAAAAAAAAUUAUCAAGAGUUUAUUACACUGUCUCUUUUUCUCUCUGAAUUGUUUUUGUUAAUCCUAGAUAUAUUUCAGUAUAUAUCCUUUAAAAAUAUACAUGUUGGGCUGGGGAUAUAGCUCAAGCUGUAGCGCGCUCGCCUGGCAUGCGUGUGGCCCGGGUUCCAUCCUCAGCACCACAUACAAACAAAGAUGUUGUGUCCGCCGAAAACUAAAAAUAAAUAAAUAAAUAAAUAUUUUAAAAAAAUUCUCUCACUCUCUCUUUAAAAAAAAAGAAAGAAAUUUAAAAAAAAAAUAUAUAUAUAUAUAUACAUGUUAUUACACCUUAAUGUUAAUAUCACACCUGACAAAAAGAACAGUACUUAUUGACUUUCACCUAAUAUCUGGACUAUAAUCAAAUUUCUCAGAUCAUUGAAGUUCAGCCCACUUAAUCCUUAAUUAAGGAUAUACAGCUGGCUAUAUUCUAUUUCAGUCACCUAAAACAAUGAAAUUUAGAAGAAUACUGAGAUGGAAAAAACUUCUUUUUUUGUUUGUUUGUUUGUUUGUUUGUAAAGUAUCUCAAGUAAAAGAAUAUUCCUCCCAGAUACAGAUAAGUUUGAAAGUAUUUGGGCAAGCAUCUGUGUUAUUAUCUAUGGAUUAGUUAAUAUUAUCUGCGAUAUGAGUUCCCAUCAUGCUUGUUGUCAGAAAGCAUAAUUAACCGGGAUGAGUCUUAGUUGUGUUAAGUACAGCUUCCUGCCAAACCUCAACUCACCUGCCCCAUUCUCUAUAAUCAGCAUAAGGGGUUAUUGAAGUGUAUGGUGUUUCCUAACACUGUCUCUGGAACACCUGUGCUGUUAUCAUGCCAGUUUAGGCAUUAAAAAUAUAGCAAGAUUGGGGUAGGGGGUAAGCUCACUGGUAGAACCCUUGUCUAACAUGAGGGAGGCCCUGGGUUUGGUCCCCAGCACCACCAAAAAUAAACAAAUAAAAUUAAAACAUAGUAAGAGCUGGGGUUGUGGCUCAGUGGUAGAGCGCUUGCCUAGCAUGUGCGAGUCACUGGGUUUGAUUCUCAGCACCACAUACAAAGAAAAUAAAGGUCCAUCAACAAUAUGUAUAUAUAUAUAUAUAUAUAUAUAUAUAUAUAUAUAUAUAUAUAUAUAUAUUCAGCUCUUUCAAAAUAUUAGUCCUGUUAAUUUCCAGAGUCACACACACAUAGAGUGCUUUUAAGUACUUUACCUAACAUGUUUCAUUUUUUUAAAAAAGCCAUUAAACGGACAGGUGUGGUAGCACACACCUAGAAUCCCAGUGAUUCGGAGGCUAAGGCCAGAAGAUCACAAGUUUGAGGCCAGCCUCAGAAAGUUUGAGGCCAGCGUGGGCAACUUACCGAGGUCCUAUUUCAAAAUAAAAAAGGACUGGGCUAUAGCUUUGUAGUAAAGCACCCAUGUACCAGUACCAAAACAAAAGCCAUUAAGAAUGUGCUUACACUGGGCGCAGUGGUGCAAGUCUGUAAUCCCAACAGCUCAGGAGGCAGAGGCAGGAUUAUCACAGGUUCAAAGCCAAUUUAGUAAGGACCUGUCGCUCAAUAAAAUAUAAAAAAGGGCUGGGGCUGUGGCUCAGUGGUUGAGGCCCUAGGUUUAAUUCCAAAUACCAAAAAAAGAAAAAAGAAAAAAGAACGUGUUUAGAUGAAGCCAAACCAGCAAUAUAAAAACAGACAAAUGAAAUCUUAAGAGGAUAGUUGACCAAAUGUUUUAGUACUGGGAAAUAGAACUUUAUUUAUGUAUUUAUUUAUAUAGUUGUACUUGGGAUUAAACAUAGGGGCUCACACAUGCUAAGCAAGUGCUCUACUACUGAGCUACAUCCCCAGAUGUUUUUUAUUUUAUUUUGAGACACCUUACAAAGUUGAUUAGCCUGGCCUUGAACUUGCAUCUUCCUUCCUCAGCCUCCCAAGUAGCUGGCAUUAUAGUUGUAUGCCACUGUGUCUGGCAAAGGAAGUAGUAUUAACUAUUUCCUCAACAAAUAUUUUUUCUCCAUAUCCAUGGAUUCUGCCUCCACAGCUGUAGUGGUCAUGUACAGAUAUUUUUUUUUUCUUGCCAUCAUUCCUUAACAAUGUAGCAUAACAACAAUUUACAUAGCAUGAAUGUUGUAUUAGGUAUUUUAAGUAAUUUAGAGGUGAUUUAAAGUAUGUAAGAAGAUGUUUGCAGGUGGUAGGCUACUUGCAAAUACUACACCAUUCUAUGUAAGAGACUCAAGCAUCUGCAGAUUUUGAUAUAUAUUUAUAUAUAAAUGUCAAAGUUUCAAUUAUUUUAUAAUUUUUAUUUUUAUAUUUUUAAUAUUUAUUUUUAUAAAUGCCUAUUAUGUAUAUAUGUAUAAAUAUGUAUGUAUAUAUAAAGUCAUAUAUGUACAUAGUCAUUAUAAAAUAAGUGAAAAUUUGAUAUUAGUAGUGAAUUGCCACCUGGGGUUGUGGCUCAAUGGUAGAGUGCUUGCCUAGCAUGUGUGAGGCACUGGGUUCUAUCCUCAGCACCUUAUAAAAAUAAAUAGAAAUAAAGGUUUUUUUAAAAAAGAGUUAACUCAAAAAAAUAGUGAAUUGCAUUAGUAUAUGCUUAAGACAUGUACAUGCUGUCUGUGUACUUUAAACUUUUAAAACUGUAAUUUGAAUCGGAAGAUAUGAAAAAUACAAAAAGAAAAUUAAGGGUAAAAUUAAACUAUGGUUCCACUUAAAAUGUAAUGCCAAGGGCAGGCACAGUGGCAUAUACCCAUAAUCCCAUCAAAGGAGGAUCACAAAUUCAAAGCCAGCCUCAGCAACCUAGCGACGUCCUAAGCAACUCCCUGUCUCUAAAUAAAAUACAAAAUAGGUCUGGGGAUGUGGCUCAGUGGUUGAGUGCCCCUGAGUGCAGUCCCUGGUACUGCCUGCCCCACCCCCUACAAAAUGUGAUGCCUAUACUAUGGAUUUUAAUUAUUUAUUUAUUUUUUUUUUUUGAGAAGAGGUCUCUCCCUCUCUCUUGUACUUAUCACCUCUUCUGCCUGCUUCCCUACGUCAUUUCACAAACACAUCAUUUUAUAUUUUAUUUAGAUUAAUGUGUAAGGCUGGAAAAUACUGUAAACAACGAGAAAAAAUGCAAAAUAGAUUAUACUGAAGAUAAGAACAAUUCCAAAAAUAGUCGUCUGCCUCUCUGUGUUUUUGUUCUCCCAGUAACGAAGCUCACUGCCUUUAAUUAUAGCUUGAGACAGUGUGUUGAAAUAUUUAAUCUCUGAGUAAUGACUGGAUUUUAGUUUCCUAAUUGGCAUCUGUGUGUUUAGCAUUUCUACCAAAUCCCAAUCUGAGAAUGCGCACACAAUACAAGACAUGAGUUUCUAAGUAAAACAUUUCUGAUACGUGCCACCUUAGCUCCAGGGCAAUAAUGUUACAACAAACGGGGGAAGGAUAAAUAUCAUAUGUUUUAUGAUUUCACAUAUUUUUAAUGCCUGACCAACAACCUGUCAGGGUUUACAAGUUAAACCACAAAUCCAUGUGUGAUCACAGUACCUAGUGAAGUAUAAUUGCAGCCCCAAAGAAGCCCUUGGCCUUGGGAAAGUGUCUUGCUCAUUCUUGAAUGGUAUUUCAGGUACCUGGGAGUAGUUCCCAGGAGAUAAUGCUCCGCCCACAUUGGUUGACUUAAUUUAAAACCUUGUGAAACCAGCUUGAAGGGACAAAAGGAUAGGCUAAGUAGAGAAAUGAUCAGCUUGAAUCCAUUCACCAAAAUUUAUUUGUGUUUUCCUAAAUGGAGAAUCCAGGGAAGUGUCAUUUGGGCAUCUUCCCCUGGAUUAUCGUUAGCUUCAUAUUGUUCGAAACAAAAUGCCACUCAUGCAACACACCUCUUGGGUGAGUCCAUGAAACACACUGUGGGUGUGGGACCUGCACGUUCACAUUCCCGGAAUAAUGCCUAUUUCCCCUCAGUAGUGUUUAUCCAGCCUAAAGUUACACGUGGGAGAAGGUGGAGCAAGAGGUGGAAUCACAGAACCCAGCUGUUCUCCCCAUUGAGAAGCUUCGUUUUAUUUUCAGUCUAGUUAAUAUGGGGAAACCGACCCCACCCCCCAUACAUCUGACAGCAGGAACUCAAGACAGGACGGCCAGCUCUGUUAGAAGCUUUGGGGCUCCAUAUUUACCCAGAUGCCAGAGUAUCCAGAGUCCUCUGAAAAUGAAAACUGCUCUUUCCAAAAGUGAGUAACACUGUGUGGGAUUACAACUUGAACCUUUCUGCCCUCAAGGUGAAACAAUGAAUGAGUAAAAGAGGCCACUCCCAAAUACCAAGCAUCACUGAGGCUUACUUAAUAGGAUCAAAACAAAGCCAGUUCCUGCCUUGGCCUGGCUCACCAGUCACUAGAUGACCUUGGAAGCCAGGGGGCUACGUUGACUGGCAUGGUCACCUGGUCAACUGUUCUGCUGUUCUGCACCUCAUAUUCAUCUUUUCCAGGUACAACCCAGAGUAAGAACUUUUACAGUCACCAAAUUCAGAUAAAGAGGAUCCCAUCAUAUCCCUGGUGCUGUUGUCCAUCCAUAUCUCUCCUCAGUAUUAUCAGUUCUGAGUUUCACUGAAAUGAAGCUCAUUGGACCCAACUGGGUCUAGUUAGAGAGGUAUGUUAAUGACAUGAGGCUACAAGGCUGUAAGAUCCUACACUUCUGAGGAAUUAAUAACUUCAUUCCUGGCCAAAAAUGCUGAGUUGACAAUGUUCUUUGGACCUUUUGUCAUAGCAAGGUUUAAUUCUCAAUCUAGAGAGAACAGAUUGGUUGGCAUUAUCACUUGGAAAGGAGAUUACUUCCCAUUUUUGGCUCAUCCUGUAUCUGGAAGCAACCAAUCUGAAGUUCAUGUAGCCAUAUCCUCUAAUAACUGAAGGAGAAGAGAUGAAGGAGUGUCCUAGAGAGGCCCUUGGCCAUUUACACUUUAUAUUCUUCUGGCAGUAAUGACUCAGAGGCACUUUGAGCCUCUUAACCCAAAACUUCACUUAACUCCCACAACAAACCUGUGCAUGGCUCAAAUAACCCCAAAGUGGAAUUGAGCACAGCACAGCAUAUGUCUCCAGGUAGGUAGGCUUGGGAAACCGAGGCCACCACCUGUUCAUCCACUGUUUACUUCUUUUCUUUUUUUCUUCUCUCUCUCUCUCUCUUUUUCUUUUUUUUCCCCUGUCAAUGCCAGGGACUGAAUCCAGGGUCCUUUAUUACUGAGCUACUACCUCAGUCCUUUUUUAUUUUGAGACAGGGCUGAAACUAGCCUCCAGAGUCACUGGGACUGCAGGUGUGUACUACCACAUCCAGCUGCAUUUCCCUUUUUUAAAUCUAAGGGAUGAGUUAGAUGUUUCUGAUCCAUUAUGUGCUUUGGCUUUGAUAUUCUCUGGCUCAUACUCUGGGCUCCCGUUCUCCUCCAGCACUUGGAGGAACAGUGGGAGAGGAAGAAGGAUCAGUUGAUUGCUUUUGUUGUUAUUUUCUUCACACUGAUACAAAACAAAACUCCUUUUGGUUCCUUCCUGAAUCUAUCAUCUAAGAACCAAUAUAUCCUUGGCUUGAAUGAAUCGAGUGGCUUAAGAACAAACUAAUGAUAUCUGUUUUAGGGGACUCUAGGAAGAGAACUCCUACCUUUACACAAGAAAGAUAGUUUUUAUUCACUCAAUCAACACAUGUAUACUGAGCACCUAAUACUGUCAAGCAUCAUGGUGGGCAUUGUCAAUUCAAUAUGAGAAAACACCUGAAUUGUGCUCUAGUGGCACUUACAAUCAAGUGUGAGAGAGAAACAUCAAGCAAAUAGUGACAAAUGAGGUUGUAUUAUAACAUGGGUACAAUAUAAUUUUAUAUAAUUUUUUAAAAUAGGAAUAUAACCACUGAUUUUUUUAAAAAAGCACAUAUUAAUUAAAAGCAAAAAGAAAAAAAACAUAAAUGGGGAAAAAUGCAAGAAAAAAUUAUAGCAUUUAUUUAUGUGGUCCUAGGGAUUAAACCCAGGGCCUCCCACAUUCUAGGCAAGUGCCCUACCACUGAGUCACACCCCCAAUCUACAAUGAAAUUGUUUUUGUUUUUUGGGGGGAGGGGUGCCAGAAAGUGAACCCAGGGUGCUUUAUCACUAAGCUACAUCCCCAGCCCUUUUUAUUUUAAGACACUAAGUUGCCAGAGUCUGGCCUAGAACUUUCUAUCCUCCUGCCUCAGUUUCCUGUGUAACCAACACUCCUGGCUUCAACUGGUUUUUAAAAGAGAUGAUCCCAGGAAGACCAGAAAUGAGGAAGUAGAACAAGGAAGGGAAGGAAGCCAAAAAAAGGAACAUUAUUGAGUAAAUUUCUCCUACGUAACUGCAACUGGGGCUCAGUCCUGCUGGAGACUCUGGAGGACACUGAAAAACAUGUCUUGAGUUUUCCUACCCAAGGGGCAAGGAGAAGCCUCUGGUUCUCAUCAUCAUUGGUUGAAGCCUACUCCAGGGACAUUAACUUCUCAGCACAUCUAUAUGUAAAAUGGAGGAUUUUUGGUGCAAGUAUUAGAAUAGAUAUUGGAAUGUACUGGAAUGUACAAGGGGAUAUAGAUCUCACAAGAAUUUCUGAACUCUUUGUAAAAGAGACCAGAAUCUAAAAUGAUCCCCAACAGGCAUGGGGGCACGCCUGUAAUCCCAGCAGUUUGGGAGGCAGAGGCAGGAGGAUCCCAUGUUUAAAACCAGCCUCAGCAACAAUGAGGCACUAAGUAACUCAGUGAUAGUUUGUAUCUCUAAGUAAAAUACAAAAUAGGUCUAGGGACGUGGCUCAGUGGUUGAAUGCCCCUGAGUUCAAUCCCUGAUACCAAAAAAAUAAAAGAAAGAAAAAAGAAAUCGGUCCCCAUAAUCUUCACUCCUUGGUACUCAUACGUUUGUAUGAGUGAGGGUGGGACCUGUGGCUGCUUCUCACCAACAGAACAUGGCAGAGAUUGACUGGAGAUGCGGCCCAGUGGCAGAACAUUUGCAUGGGCAAGGUCCUGGAUUCAAUACCCAGCAACAAUCAAAACUAUGGCCGAGAUGAUGGGAUGUCAGUCUAUAAUUAAGUAACAUUAUAUAAGAUUCUGUCUUGCUAAAUCUCUUUCUCCUUUACUGGCGUCAAGGAAUCAAGCUGCCAUUUUGCCCCAGUAUUUAUGGAGAAGCCCGGUUGGCAAGGAACUGUGAGCAACCUCUUAGAGCUAAAAUCAGUGCCUAACCCACAGUCAUUGAAAAACUGGAUUCCUGGUCUUACAGCAUCAAGGAACUCAAUUCUGCCAACAAUCUGCAUCUGGAAGCUCAUCUACCACUAGUCAGGUCUCCCCAUAUGGAACUGAGCCCUGACCCACACCAUGAAGACACCUUUGCAAGGAGUGAGUCUGCUCAUGACCAAUCUCCUCACCCACAGGAUGUGGGUGUUGUUUUAAGCCACUGAGUUUAUGGCAAUUUGUUGUGCAGCAUGGAAGACAAACACACUCAUUCCCUUGUCUUGUAAGCCUCCAAUCUGAGUAAGGUGGCCUCAGCUCCCCACCUUUUCUUUUUAUAACCUUUAAUGUACUGAUCAGCAAUUCUUAUGGUUUGAACAAAUGUACUGUUCUUUUUUAUUACAAAAAAUGAGACAGUCCUGUAACUCCAGCGGCUUGGGAGGCUCAGGCAGGAGGAUCAUGAGUUCAAAGCCAGCCUCAGCAAUUUAGCAAGGCUCAGAGAGACUCUGUCUCUAAGUAAAAUAUAAAAAUGGGCUGGGGAUGUGGCUCAGUGGUUGAGUGCUUCUGGGUUUAAUCCUUGGUACCAAAAAAAAAAAAAAAAAAGGAAAAUGAGAAGGUCAUUAUAAAUUAUAUAUGAAAUAGAUAAAAGCAAGCCAGGUAUGGGGGCACACAACUGUAAUCCCAGCAGCUCUGGAGGCUGAGGCAGGAAGAUCACAAGUUCAAAGCCAGCUUCAGCAACUUAGUGAGACCCUAAGCAACUCAGUGAGACCCUGUCUCUAGAUAAAAUAUAUAUGUUAAGCAAACAAACAAAAAGUAGUGGGGAUGUGGCUCAGUGGGUAAGCACCCCUGGGUUCAAUCGCUAGUACGAUAGAUAGAUAGAUAGAUAGAUAGAUAGAUAGAUAGAUAGAUAAAAAUAAAAGAAACUAAUGAUAUUCACCCCACUUUUUCUGGUAAAUUCAAACUUUCUUCUGGGCAACUCUCUAUGUUUGAGCUCUAUAAUUUUCACUCUGCUACAGAAGAACUUUUACCCAAAUAUAAGUUUAUAAUUAGAAAGACUAUACUUACAUGGAUUGCACUUGAACUUUUCCAAAGAGGCAAGCACUGAAAAUAUUCAUAUAAUUGGGAAGAGGCAUUAUUCCCAGAGAGGGAAGUUCCCAUGGACACAGUAAAGCCAUUAUCUAAUCUUUGCUCAGAGGGAUUUUCAUUCUACUCCAGGAGGAAAGAAGUGCCAAGUGUUUGAGGAAGUUGGUCCUGAACAUAUUUUUAGUAAAUAAAAGGCUUCGGAAUUUAGCAUUUAGGUGCUGAAUUUAGCAAAGGAGGCACAGAGAGACAGAAUGAGUUCUCCUUGAACUUUUUUUUUUUUUUUUUUUUUGUAGUUUUCGGUGGACACAACAUCUUUAUUUUUUUUUUAUUUUUAUUUUUAUGUGGUGCUGAGGAUCAAACUCAGCGCCCUGCGCAUGCCAGGUGAGAGCAUUACCGCUUGAGCCACAUCCCCAGCCCAUCUCCUUGAACUUUUUAUUUCCUUUCCCUCUUCACCCCUGGGCAGCUGUGAGAGGCGCUCUGAGUCCUCCAGCCAAUAUCUCAAGGGAUCUUUCUUCCUUCUUCCUUUCCAGCUUUUCCUCUUUCUGUAGCUCAUACAGCAGUUUCCAUUAGACCACAAAAUCGCCGCCGUGAGGCCACCUCUCCCCUUCACUUUCACGUGAAGCUCCUCACUUUCCUACUGCACUGCAGCUCUCGAUGGGGAGUCACUAGGUGCAUUCUUUCUUUCUUUUCUUUUCUCUUUUUAAUUAUGGUACUUGGAAUUUAACCCAGGGUCAUUCUACCACUCAGGUAUAUCCUUGAUCUUUUUAUUUUUUUUAUUUUGAGACAGGAUCUCCCUAAAUUGCUGAGCCUGACCUUCAACUUGCAAUCCUCCUGCCUCAGCCUCCUGAUUUGUAGGCGUGAGAAGUGUGUACCAACCACACACACAUUGCUUCACUGGGUGCUUUCUAUAUGCUCAUGCUUUCAUUUAACAAACAUUCCGACAUGGCUGCUAUAUGCUGGGCAUUGUGGAGGAUGCUGACCAAGGGGCACCUGGAUCUAGUGGGGGAACCUGGUACAUGCACUGGUAACACACUGUGAUCUCUGCAUGCUCUACUGGAUGUCCAAAUAUACCUAGAACCGGGGAGCUACAGUAGAAAAAGGACAGCCAGAGCAGGCACAGGGGACAGGAAUGAAGGUUGGAGAAAGAAAAUUCUUCACAAAGAAAAAGAUUCAAGCCAGGUACAGUGACACUAGUCUAUAAUCCCAGCAACUCAGGAGGAUGGGGCAGGAGGAUCGUGAAUUAAAAGCCAGCCUCAGCAACUUAGGGAGGCCCUAAGCAACUCAGUGAGACCUUGGCUCUAAGUAAAAUACAAAAAAGGGCUGGGGAUGUGGAUCAGUGGUUAAGCACCCCUGGGCUCAAUUCCCUGUACAGAAAGAAAGAGAGAAAGAAAGAAAAAAGUUUAAUUUUAACUCACAGUUUUGGAGCUUCCAGACCAUAACUGGACAGACCCAUUGCUUUUUUUAAUUUUUAUUGUUGGUUGUUCAAAACAUUACAUAGUUCUUGAUAUAUCAUAUUUCACACUUUGAUUCAAGUGGGUUAUGAACUCCCAUUUUUACCCCGUAUACAGAUUGCAGAAUCACAUCAGUUACACAUCCAUUGAUUUACAUAUUUCCAUACUACUGUCUGUUGUAUUCUGCUGCCUUUCCUAUCCUCUACUAUCCCCCCUCCCCUCCCCUCGCCUCCCCUCUUCUCUCUCUACCCCCUCUACUGUAAUUCAUUUCUCCCCCUUGUAUUAUUUUUCCCUUUCCCCUCACUUCCUCUUGUAUGUAAUUUUGUAUAACCCUGAGGGUCUCCUUUCAUUUCCAUGCAAUUUCCCUUCUCUCUCCCUUUCCUUCCCACCUCUCAUCCCUGUUUAAUGUUAAUCUUCUUCUCAUGCUCUUCAUCCCUACUCUGUUCUUAGUUACUCUCCUUAUAUCAANUGUCUCUAGAUAAAAUAUAUAUGUUAAGCAAACAAACAAAAAGUAGUGGGAAUGUGGCUCAGUAGUGGGGAUGUGGGUUGAAUCGCCAGUAUCCCCUCAAGGAAAGGCAUGUCCCCAUAUGACGAGAAUGCUUAUAACUAGGCCCGAUAUCUUAAAGCUUCUAUCACCUCCCAAGAGCACUACAGUGAGCUCUUUGUGAGACAUUUAAUAUCCAAACUAAAGCACAUACUAACAUGCAAAGAUGUCCAACUAUUCUAAGUUUAAAAAACGUUGUAAAAUAAUACAAAUAUGGUUCACAUUAGCAUAGGUAUUUUUAACUUUUUAUUUUGAGAUGAUUUACAUGCAAUUAAAGAAAUUAUUAAUACGGAAUCACAGUGAGAUGCAAUUUCACACCCACUAGAAUUAGAUGGCUAUGAUAGAGAAAACAGAUAAAAACAAAUGUUGGUGAGAACAUGGAGACAUCAAGAUCCUCAUCCACUGCUGAUGGAAGUGCUAGAUUGUGCAGCCUCUUUGCAAAAUAGCUCGGCAGGUGGUGCACACAUGUAAUCCCAGUGGCUCCAGAGGCUGAGGCAGGAGAAUCCUGAGUUCAAAGCUAGCCUCAGCAAUUUAGAAAGGCCCUAAGCAAUUUAGCCAGACCCUGUCUCUAAAUUAAAAAAUAGAAAGGGCUAGGGAUGUGGAUCAGCAGUUAAGCACCCCUGGCUUCAAUCCCCAGUACCAAAAGAAAGAAAAGAAAGAAAGAAAAAUAGCUUAGCAAUUCAAAAAGUUAAACAUAUCACCUGGCAAUUUUACUCCAGGUAUAUACCUAAGAGAAUUUAAAACAUGGCCACAGAAAAAUGUGUACAUAAAUGUUCAUAGCACCAUUGUGCAUAAUAACCAAGACAUAGAGACAACCCAAAUGUCCAUCAACUGAUGAAUGGAUAAACAAAAUAUGCAAGGAUUUCCAUGUAAUGAGAUAUCAUUUAGUCAUAAGUAGAAAUGAAGUAUUGAUAAUACUACAACAUAGAAAACUACAACCUUGAAAACCUUUAUGUUGAAUGAAAGAAACCAGACAGACACAAAAGGACACAUAUUGUGUGAUUGUGUUUAUAUGAAACAUCUAGAAUAGACAAAUCCACAGAGAUGAGAGUAGAUCAAUGGUUACCAAGGGCUGGAUGGAAAGUGGGACGGGAGUGAGUGCUGAUAGGUGCAGGGUUUCUUCCUGAGAUCAUAAAAAUAUUCUACAAUUAGUGGGUGAGGUUUCUCAGCACAGCAAAUACAUUUAAAGCUACUGAGUUGUACAUGCUAAUAGAGUAAAUCUUGUGAUAUAUGAAUUAUACAGCUCAAUAGAACUUAUUGAAAAAAGAAAGAAUAUAGAGAAAUCCUGUGUACCUCUCACCCCUUUUCCUUCAGUGGUAAUAUUCUAUGUAGCUAAAAUACAAUAUCACCAUCAGGAAAUUGACAUUGAUACAAUCCAUCAGCCUUAUUUAGAUAUCAUCAAUUUAUAUACACUCAUUUAUAUGUUUAUUUAGUUCUACAUGACUUUUUUUUUUUGUACCAGGGACUGAAUUCAGGGCCUCAUCCAUGAUAGCAAAACGCUGUGACACCGAGCUACAUUCCCAGUCUUUAUUAAAUUUUUAAAUUUUGAGACAAGGCCUUGGUAAAUUACCCAGACUACCUCAAAGUUACAAUCCUCCUGCCUCAGCCUUCUGAGUAGCUGGGAAUUACAGGCAAGCCCACCAUGCCUGGCUGGUCCUAUAUAAUUCAAUCGCACAUGUAGAUUCAUAUGACCACCACCAUGUCAAGGUGCAAAAUAGUUCCAUCACACACAUCCCUUGUGCUACAUUUUUAUGACCAUGGUCACCCCUUCACUCCCUUCAAUCUGACCCCAAUCUCUUUUUUUCCUUUUCUAUAAAUGUAUAAUUUCAAGAGUAAUUUAAGGCUGGGGUUGGGGCUCAAUGGUAGAAAGCUUGCCUAGCAUGUGUAAGGCACUAGGUUUGAUCCUCAACACUGCAUUAAAUAAAUAAAUAAAUAAAUAAAUAAAAGUAUUGUGUAAAAAAAAAAAGAAUAAUCUAAAUGGAAUUACACAGUAUAUACCAUUUUGUGAUUGGCCUUUUUUUUUUUUUCAGUGUAAUUCUCUGGAGAUCCAUCCAGAUUGUUGUGUGUAUCCAUCCAUAUUUCUUCCUUUUUAUUGAUGAGUAGUAUUCCAUGGUAUACACAUACCAUUAUUUAGUUAGCCUUUCACCACUGAAGGACAUUUGGGUUGUUUCCAGUUUGUGGCAAUUAUGAAUAGAGUUACUAUGAAUAGUCAUGAAUUUUUUUGGAUGUGCAAGCAAAUGUUACUAUUCCUCUGGGUUUUAGAUGUCCAAGAGUGUACUCACUAUAUUAUAUGGUAAUUUUUCAUAUUCAAUGUUGUAAGAAAUAGCCAUCCUCUUUUCCAGACUGGCCAUAUCAUUUUACAUUCCUACCAGCAAUGUAUAAUCAAAUUUCUCUAGAUCCUCACGAGCAUUUGGUGUUGUCAGUAAUUUAUACCCUUUCUAUACACAGUAUAUAGUGUGUAGUAUAUUUUCAGGGGUGACUACCAGGGAUUGAACUCAGGGGUGCUUUAUACUGAGCUACAUCCCCAGCUCUUUUCAUUUUUUUAUGUUGAGACAGGGUCUCACUAAGUUGCUUAGGGCUUGUGACGUGGUUGAGCCUGGCCUCAACCCUAUGAUCCUCCUGCCUCAGCCUCCAAAGUCUUUGGAAUUACAAUUAUACACCAACAUAUCUGCUGCUUAUACACAUAUUUUUUAAAAAGUUAGACAAACUGUGUGUACCAAAAUCUUUUUUUUUUUUUUUGGCAGUACCUGAGAUUGAACCCAGUACUUUGUAAAUGUUAGGCAAGUGCUCUAUCACUGAGCCAGGCUCCCAGCCCUGUGCACCAAACCCUUGACAGUUGUUAUGUUUUUAAUUUUACAUAUUAUAUUAUAUAUUACAGUGGUGUUCAAAUUUUGUAUAACUUAAUGUUUUGUCUAUAAUCUAAAAUGCAAUUGGAUUCUUAAAGGAGUUAACAGGUAGUAAGAAAGUGAAGACAAUUAUUAGAAACUGUUCUGCAGAGGAGCUUGUCCUUGCAAGUAAGCUGGUAGGGAGGAGAGAAAAGAGGAAGAUAGCGUGAGGGCAUUCUCUCCCUCAGCGUGGCAGUAUUGAGAGGUGGUGGAACCUUUAAGGGGUGGGGCUUAGAGCAAGUAAUUAGGUUAUUGGAGGUGCUGACCUCAGAAGGGAUUAGGGACUCUAAGUAGUCCUUAAGAGAGUGAGUUGUUAUGAGAGAAUAAGUCUAGCCAAGCUGUGGUGUGUCCCCAUAGUCCCAGCUAUUCAGAAGGCUGAGGCAGGAGGAUCACAUGAGCCCAGGAGUUCAUAGCCUGCCUGGGCAACAUUGUGAAAUUGCCUCAAAAAGAAAGAUCAAACAUUUAUUUUAAUAUAUAUUAAUAUUAAUAUAUAAUAUAUGUAUAUAUCUCAGAAAUUUGGGCGGGGGUGUAGCUUAGUGGUAGAGCACUUACCUAACAUGUACCAGGCCCUGGGUUCAAUCCUUACCACUGCAAAAUGAGUGAAUGAAAUAAAUUAAAUUAAAAAGAAGAAAGAAUGAAAGCCAGCACUGCUGUUCAUGCCUAUAAUCCCAGCAACUCAGAAGACUAAGCCAGGAAGAUCACAGGUUCAAGGCCAGCCUGGCAACUUAGUGACACCCUGCCUCAAAAAGAACUGGCAGAGUACCCCAGUUCUAUCCCUAGUAUGGAAAAAAAAAAGUAUGCCUCUCAAAUAUCUCUCUGGAGUCCUGUCUUAUUAUUUCUCCCUCUUGUAGGGACUCCUGCCAUUGUGAUAUCAUCCACCAUGUCUUCCACCAGAGCCAAGAAGAAGCCAGCAUCAUGCUCUUAGACCUCUAAAACUAUAAGCUAAGUAACCUCUUUUCUUUGUAAAGUACUCAGUCUCAAGUAUUUUGUUAUAACAAAAUUGUUAUAACAACAGAAAACAAACUAAGACAUGAGACAAUCUCCAGAAACAGUCAGGGGUGACUCUGGCCAAGAGCUAAUGUGAAAAGAACACCCACCUCUCUGAGACUGGAGGAAGGAAGGGCUGGCCAGAUGGAGAAGUCUGCAGGUGGGAGGAGCCGGAAGAAUUCACACUUGAUUCCCUCUGCUUGGUGACCUAGGAGGCAAUGAUUUGUGCUAAGCACUAGAACUAGAGAACAAUCACUCCUUUUACAACCAUGCUUUCAAAAAGAAUAGUUUGUCUUGUUCUUUUCUAAAGAAUAAAGAGUUUUCUCUGCUCUCUUAUUGAGGGUGCUAAGUACUGCUGGCUUUUAAUAUCAAAACUAAUAAGAGGUUAAGGAUGUUGACUCUGGAGCCAGACUGCCUGGUUGGAAUCUCAUUAUGGCUACUUUGAGACAUUGGAUGAGAAACUUUGUCUCCAUGCCUCAGCUUUCUCAUCUGUAAAGUGGGGCUGAUAAUAAUAGGAUCUGCUUCAUAGGUGUCCGGAGGAUUAAAGGAGUACACUCAUGGAAAGCGCCUAUGACCAUGGCUGGCCCACAAUAAGCAGUCAGUGGACGUAGGCUGUUAUUACUGCAGAGGAGAGAGGCAGGAUGUAGGAGGUAACUUGAGCAAGUGGAAGAGCUGGGCAGGAAACAAAAAGGAUGUCAGCAAGGACGGUAACAUAUUGCUGAUAGAAAGGAGAGAGAGAUCCCAGGGCCCAGUCGAAGUUGGAGGUGUUUUGGGGUGUUCACUCCCUGGUGUCAGGAGUUGCCCUGAGGCUAGAAUGAGAGUCAAGAAGAAAACAGAGUUUCAGUCUAUGCAGAGAAUGUGGACAGGUAUAGAUGGGUCCAGACAUCCUGCUGGUACUGUCUAGGUGCUGGGCAGCCCAGGGACCUGGUGGCUGGGCUGCCCCACAGGUAAGGACAAGAUGUUACUCUACCCAAGGCCAUUUGGGUUACAGGGAACAGGUGUCCAUGGGAACCAACUCAGGUCAAAGAGGUUAGGGUGGUCAGUGGGUGUUACAGGACACAGCAGGCAAUCUUGAGUUAUGAAUUCAAAGAGCAGGAAAUGGGGCUCAACAGAUGGAGUCUCAGGGGACAGGGUGGGACCGGAAGGGAGGUUCCUCUCUGCUUUAUGAGCUUUAGGGUCCUUCAGCUGCACCUCUCCCCACUCAUCUCUCUUGACCAGUCUUCUGCUUUUUUUAUGUUGUUGUUGUUUUCCUCUUAUUUUUGCAGAGCUGGGGAUUGACUCAAAGCCUCCUGCACACUAAGCAGGUGCUCUACUACUGAGCCACACCCUGGCCCUGCUUCACGUUCUCAUCAGGGGCAGCUUUCUGUCCCUCUUAUCUGCAAAAUGAUCACAGCCCUGAGUAUUACAAUGUUCAAGCAACAGCAGUCAAUGCAUAGUAUACCUGAUGGACUGGCAGGUAUCAGAGCCAGAUAUCCUAUUCUGAGCUGAUGAGGCCAGAUGCCCUACCCUGGGCCCUCAGCCAUGGGCAGGGUGUGUAUCUUGGCAAAUGCAUUACAAAAUUAGUAUUCCCAUAAAAUAAGUUUGGGUUUCCUCUCAUGUUUCAUGUAAAAGUAAAAACAGAAACUCAGUGAUUUCAUUGAGGUUUUUGGUUUUUUGCUUCAUCAGAACUUCCUCUGCCCCGAGGGAACUGAAUGAAGGCUACAGAUGGAAGCCUGUGCUCCCCUCCACUUUCUCCAGAUGCUUGCUCUAGUGUCUCCCAUUUUUCCCACUUUCAGAGCCUUUUUUUCCAACUUUCUUUCAAAAUUAUUUCAUUUUUUUUCUGAGUUCUUUCCUGGCUGACUCCUCUUACUUCCCUGGAUGUCCCCCCCCCCCAUCUUUUCUUCUCCACUCCUAACAGUUUAAUGAAAAUUCUAACACAGAGAAAAGUUAGAAUAGUGAGAUGGCAGCUGUAUACAUCUCGAUUCAGCAGGCCACCUUUGCCAUAUUUGCUUUCUCCUCUCUUCCCCCACAUCCUCUCCUCCCCCUCCUAGAGAAUAAGAAAAAUCCAUUACAUAACUCCAAUACCGUUAUCAUUCCUAAUGAAAUUAACAACAACUCUAUGUUGUCUUAGACUGUUUUGUACAACAAUAACUGAGUAUUCCAGACUGAAUAAUUCAUAAAGAACAGAACCUUGUGCUGGGAGUGUAGUUUCAGUUGUAGAGUACUUGCCUAGCAUGCACGAGGCCCUGGGUUCCAUCCCCAGCACUGCACGUAUACAACAAAUGAACAAAACCCUGAGCUUUAUUUCCCGCAGUUCUGGGGGUACAGAUGCAGCAAAUGCUGGGUCCUCAAUAAAUGGUAGAGUGGCAGAACAUAUACUCUGUGAAGUCUCUUUAAUAAAGCCUUUAAUCCCAUUAACAAGGAAGGAGCCCAUAUGACCGAAUCAUCUCUUAAAGGGCUCAUUGUCAUGUUGGGAAAACCUGGACUCUGAAGGGAACACAGUCAAACCGUAUCCCAUGACUCUUACAUCUUCCAUAUUCAGAUUUCCCCAGUUGUCUGUCCUAGCUGUUGGAUUCCUAACUCUUCUCAUUUCCAAACUGUAUUCUGAUUCUUGAAUCUCAGCUGCCCUCUUCUUCACAGGGAACAUUCUCUUGGCAGGAUCCAAGAAGUGUUAAAUUAACCUCAAGAAAAACCCACUGGAUUCUGUAAUCCACAGGGAUAUUCAUAUCUCCCCAUGUUCUGCUUGGGGAAAAGAAAAAUCAGUCCAUUUCUUUGGGGCUCCAAUCACAAUCACAUCUGUGUUCUUCAUCACCCUCUGUAGAGUCCCUGGUUUGCAUUUGGUUCACAAGCAACAUCUCAGGGAGGGUCACACCCCUCUCAUUAUCUCAGGAAUGGCAGUUAAGGUUUGGGCCAUUUCUCUGAAAGGCUGACCCCAAUGAUUUUUCCUAAUUUCAUUUUCAAAGAGUAGUUUUUGCUUCACUUAGGUUCCAGUGCUUUCUAAAACCUUUUUGGAAUGCUAAGAGAAGCAGUAACAGGAGAAAGCAAUUCUGGAUGGAUUUUUUUCUUUUCUUAAUCUAAUUAAUCAUUUUCCAAUGUUUUGUUAGGCGGGAAUAUUUUAUG